UACGUAGGGUGCAAGCGUUGCCCGGAAUUAUUGGCGUAAAGAGCUCGUAGGCGGUCUGUCGCGUCGGAUGUGAAAAUCCAGGGCUCAACCCUGGACCUGCAUUCGAUACGGGCAGACUAGAGUUCGGUAGGGGAGACUGGAAUUCCUGGUGUAGCGGUGAAAUGCGCAGAUAUCAGGAGGAACACCGAUGGCGAAGGCAGGUCUCUGGGCCACUACUGACGCUGAGAAGCGAAAGCAUGGGGAGCGAACAGG
rnacentral:rRNA from 1 species